UACGGGGGGGGCAAGCGUUGUUCGGAAUUACUGGGCGUAAAGGGCUCGUAGGCGGCCAACUAAGUCAGACGUGAAAUCCCUCGGCUUAACCGGGGAACUGCGUCUGAUACUGGAUGGCUUGAGAUUGGGAGAGGGAUGCGGAAUUCCAGGUGUAGCGGUGAAAUGCGUAGAUAUCGUAAGGAAGACCAGUGGCGGAAGGCGGGUCUCCUGGACAGUUCCUGACGGCUGAGGC
rnacentral:rRNA from 1 species